rnacentral:RNase_P_RNA from 1 species
GCGGAGGGCCGGAUGGCCGCGGCAUCAGCAAUGGCGCCGAGGAAAGUCCGGACUCCACAAGACAACGGUGCCGGGUAAUGCCCGGCCGGGGUAACCCGAGGGAAAGCGCCACAGAGAACAGACUUCCCCUGCGCGACAGGGGUAAAGGUGAAACGGUGGGGUAAGAGCCCACCGCGGGGCUGGCAACAGCACCGGCACGGCAAGCCCCACCGGGAGCAAUGCCAAAUAGGGAUCGCACAUGGGCUGUCUUGGCCUCGCAGAUCCGGGUUGGCAGCUUGAGGCGUGUUGGCAACAGCGCGUCCAGAUGAAUGGUCAUCCAGCUUCGGGCCACGGCCCGGGGUGGACAGAAUCCGGCUUACAGGCCCUCCGCGCAU